rnacentral:lncRNA from 1 species
UCUUUCUUUUCCUCUUCCAUCAAAUAUAGAAUCCAGAUUUGGUGGAUUUGACAGGCAAUAGGGCCCAUAGGCCAUAUUAUACUCUUCAGAUAUGAUCAGAUUUAUAGAUGCUCCAUUAUUUUAUGAGCUAUAAAGUGUAACCAGUUAAACCAUAACACAAUGCUUUCUUUAGAAUUUUAUUAUGUUCUUUAUGUACUCAUAUAUGUACAUUAUUAUAUACUUAUUGAAAGAGCUCAGACUUUUUUAGACUUGUAUCAUGGACAAUAGGAGGAAACCAAAUUUGCUAAAAUUCUCUUCUGAAUCCCUUGUCAGAGUCUUUUUUUUUUUUUUUUUUUUGAGACAAAGUUUCACACUGUCACCCAGGCUGGAGUGCAGUAGCGCGAUCUCGGCUCACCGCAACCUCCGCCUCCCGGGUUCAAGCAAUUCUCCUGCCUCAGCCUCCCGAGUAGCUGAGAUUACAGGCACCCACCACCACACCCAGCUAAUUUUUUGUAUUUUUAGUAGAGACAUAGUUUCACCAUGUUGGUCAGGCUAGUCUCGAACUCCUGACCUCAUGAUUCACCCGCCUCAGCCUCCCAAAGUGCUGGGAUUACAGGCAUGGGCCACCGUGCCCGGCCCAGAGUCUUUAAGUGCCUGUUUUUCACACACCGUUGCCUGCUGUGCCAUCAAUAGAACUGAAAAUGCAGCAUUUCUUUUUCUUUCUCUCUCUCUCGCCUCCCUCCCUCCCUUACUCCCUUCCUUCCUUCAGCAUGAUCUCGGCUCACUGCAACCUCCAUCUCCCAGGUUGAAGUAAUUCGCCUGCCUCAGCCACCCAAGUAGCUGGGAUUACAGGCAUGCGGCACCACAUCCGGCUAAUUUUGUAUUUUUAGUAAAGACGGAGUUUCAUCAUGUUGCUCAGGCUGGUCUUGAACUUCUGGGCUCGAGCGAUCCGCCCACCUCAGCCUGCCAAAGUGCUGGGAUUAUAGGCAUGAGCCAUUGCACCCUGGCUAGCAUUUCGUAAGCCAGUACUACACUAUGAUCAUCAGCAUUUUCUCUCUGGGUACCCACUAUGCAACUUUUGAUACUGGAGCUUGAUCUUACCAGGAGGUAAGAUUAAUGGAAGUUUUUGAGACAAAAGACAGGACUCACAUUCCUGUCUCAAAUAGGCAGGCAAUGACACUAAGUCAUGACUGCUAUCUGGCCAACAGCAAUUGUAAGACACCAUUAAUCCUAAAGUGAGAUCAAUUGUAUGCUCUAUCUCAAUAUCAGAGAUGCUAAAAUGUGAAAAUUGAUGAACUGAGACAGUUCUUAUGAGGCCACCUUUUGGGUUAUCCUAAAGGUGAUACCCAAUCUAGCCCAUGAGCAACGGCCCCAGCCUUAUCCACUGACAGGCAUCACUUUAUCACACCAGGUCAGACUGGGCCAAGUGCCUCCUGGACAUUUGGAAUUGGGACUAGUCUCGUGUCAAGAAAAUGUCAACACUAGGCACUGUGGAAUUGACCUCUGCCACCAUGGGGAGGUGUGCACCCAAAGCUGGGCUGCAGGGAGAGGAGGGAGGCUGACACACAGAGAGGGGCCAAGAUAAGCUAUAGAGAAGGCAGCCUCCCAAGGGCCAAUGUUGCACACUCAGGCCUUUGAAGCUAGGGCAGUUUCUCCAGCAGGUCAUGCCUAUACCACGGGUCACUGACGUCAGGGAGGCAGCCAGCUCCCCAGGGCAUGAACGAUGGAGCACAUAUUAGCUUCCUAUGGUUGCUGUAACAAAUUAUCACAAAUGAAGUGGCUUAAAACAACACAAACGUAUUAUCUCACAGUUCUGGAGAAUAGAGACCCAAAAUGGGUCUGUAGACCUGCAUUCUAUCUGGAGGCUCUCAGGGAGAAUCUGUUUCCCUGGCUUUUCUAGCUUCUAGAGGCUGUCCGCAUUCAUUGGCUUGUGGCCUCACAUCACUCCAACCCCUGCUUCUGUCGUCACAUUUCCUCUGAUGCCGACAUGCCUGCUCCCUAAGGACCCACCCAGAUAAUCCAGAACCAAUCUCCCCACCUCAAGAUUCUUAAUCCCAUCUGCAAAGUCUUAUUUGUCAUAUGAAUUAACAAUCAUGGGUUCCAGGGACUCGGAAAUGGAUAUCUUGGGGGACCAUUACUCAGCCUACUACUACCCUCAGCACAGAGACUGAAAGAGGGUUCCCCUUAAUGGUAUUUUUCUGUAAUCAGGCCUUUUUCUUUAAGAAUAUUUUAAACAGCAUAACAAAGCACAGCUGACUUUUUUCCCCCAUUUUACAGACAGGGUCUUGUUAUGUUGUUCAGGCUGGACUCAAAACUCCUGGGCUCAAGUGAUCCUCACCUCAGCCUCCCAAGCAGCUGGCACUACGGACAUGCACCACCACGCCCUGCUAGAGCUGGUUUUUUAUACAACUCUAGGGACAAUACCCAUUGCCACUUAUUAAAUGCCUACUGUGUGCCAGGGAGAGAAGGAAAGCAACAUUAUCGGCCCCAUUUAAGGAGGUCACUUGCCCAAGGUAGUCCAAAUGGCCGGUGGCAGGCAGACGAGCUCACAUCUGCCUCCCUUGACAGGCACUGAUGUUGAGGUUGUAUUUCUUCCCUUGGCGUCCAUAACGCAGACCCUAAAGUCUUGUUUGUGUUGGAGAGCUUUGGAGCCUUAAAUUUAGAGGCGCUUCACACAGCUCAUGCCACCUGCAGAAGUACCAGAGAGCCUGGCAUAGGCCAAAGAACUGGCAAAGCCUUCAGUCUCUCCUCACCACCUCAGGAAAUUGAAUCUGUUCUCCCUCCUAGUAACUCACUUAGCCAAAUGACUACACUUGUUGGGCACUAACCCCAUGUCCAAGGGACAACUAUGAGCUGGUCCAGUGAUGGAGGAGGUGGGUGGCAGCUGGGUCACACUCCUGCCACAGAUUUGGUACCCAGAACAGUCAUUAAGGUUUUGUCAAGGGAUGGACAAGCCAGAGAGAGGAGAGAUGGGCCUUCAUGAGGAUAUCAACAAAGUCCCUACAAAAAAGUCGGAGGUAGAUAAAAAUAUUAGGCAGGAAAGAGAUGUAAUGGAUUCAUCCCACUGAGGCAUGAACAAUUAAUUGCCACCUGUCAAUUGUCAAUGGGGAGAAUUCCAUCCACCCAAUCAUUUAAAGCAAGCUGGAACCGGUUACAAUGAGAAUUAGCCAAGGAUGAAAUUUAAAGGAUGCCCGGGGGCAAGUGAUGUAAUGGGUUGCAAAACAAACGUCAGAUAAAAGGCAUGGGCUCAGGGGGCCUGGUGCCAGAGCAGACGGCAUCCUAUAGAGACUAUCUUUUACUCUGGAGAAGCUAGAGCAGUACACACAGUAUUCGACAUUCAGGGGUGGGGCCUGAGAUUCUGUAUUUCCAAUGAACUCCCAGGUGAUGCUGAACAGCUGCCAUCUGUGGGUCAUCUCGAAUAGCAAGGGAUGAGAUGACUCUUAAGAGACAACUCAAGCUGUUCACUGCAGCAAAAAUAAAACGAGUGGGGUGAAUGCAGAUGUCACAGGGCUGUUUGGUGCCGUGGAAAAAUGAAGGUGGGGCUUAUCAUCAAGAAGUCCUUUACACAUCCAUGACUUUCUGUCCAACUCAUAGGAGACUGUGAAGAAAUUACCUUUUCCUUUUUAAAAUGAAGAAACUGAAGUGUAAGAAGAUUGAACACAGCAGGGUCAAAAACAUUAGGAGUAGAUACAGGUGCCCCACACCAUCCUUGACCCCACACACACUUCCAGAAAACAUCAAGCAAGGAGCAGGCAAAGAGCUGUCAUAGGAGUGUGGUUUUUUUAAUACCAUCUGUGCCAAGCAAUAUCAAAGUUGUCCAUACUCUCCAAGUUUGUCCUAUUUUUAAUAGACAAUAUUAAAAAUUUUUUAAGUGUGUGCUGAUAAAGAGACUAGUCACACCUCUGAGGGGAUUUAAAAAUGAGAUUGGAGAAAUGAAUACAGCAGAUGGAACAGAUA